CCUACGGGAGGCUGCAGUGAGGAAUAUUGGGCAAUGCCCGCAAGGGUGACCCAGCAACGCCGCGUGGAGGAUGAAGGCCGUAAGGUUGUAAACUCCUGUUAGCGGAGAAGAAUAGUACCGAUUGGAUCGGUAUUUGACUGUACCCUCAGAGAAAGCCCCGGCUAACUACGUGCCAGCAGCCGCGGUAAUACGUAGGGGGCAAGCGUUGUCCGGAUUUACUGGGUGUAAGGGGCGCGCGGACGGGAUAGGUGAAAUCCUACAGCUGAACUGUAGAACUGCCUUUGAUACUGUUAUUCUUGAGUGAGGGAGAGAGAGACGGAAUUCCAGGUGUAGUGGUGAAAUACGUAGAUAUCUGGAAGAACACCAGUUGCGAAGGCGGUCGCUUGGUCCGAUACUGACGCUGAGGCGCGAAAGCGUGGGGAGCAAACAGGAUUAGAUACCCUAGUAGUC
rnacentral:rRNA from 1 species